rnacentral:lncRNA from 1 species
UUUUAUUGUUAUUUGUGUUGAUUUUAAUAUUUUUUAAGUUUAUUUGUUUUUCAAUUUUAUUUUAGAUCAUUUUAUUUUAUUUUAUUUUUAAUCCAAUUUGGUCAUUAUUUUUUUAUUAAUAUUUUUUUAUAUCAUUUUCUUGAUUUAUUUUUUUAUUUUAUUUUUUUAAUUUUAUCGUUUAAUAUUUUAUUUCAUUUAAUUUUUUUAUCCAAUCUUGAUUUUUAUUUUUUAAAAAAAAUUCUUAAUUUAUUUUAUUUUUCAAAUUAGUCUCUAAUUAUUUUCUUUCAUUUAACUUAUCUAUCAAAUUUAGUUCUCGUUGUUUUGAUUGUUACUUGUUUUUGUCUUUUAACUUUUUAUGAUUGAGGAUUUUGUUUUUUUAUUUUUUUUAUAUUUGUCUUCUACGAAGUAAUCUUGAUCUCAAAACUUGAGUUAAUGGUUUUGAAUAUUCACCAAGUUUAAGUUUGGUUUUUUUUUAGUUUUUUUUAAUUGAUUUUUUAUUUAUUUUUAUUUUUUAACAUUAGAUUUUGGGUCUUGAGCUUUGUGGUUUGUUUUAUAUUUUUUGUGGUGUUAUUGUGACUCAUUUUAGAUAGCGGGAUAAUCGAGUUAACUUGAGAAUUUUUUUUUUUAUGUUUUUUUAUGAAAUUGAUUUUUUUUUUCACUUUAAUCAUUUGACAUUAAAUUAUUGGUUCUUGAACUUUAUGAUAUUUUUGCUUUUUUUGUGGUGUUAUUCGAGUGCAGGUUAGUUAAGU